CGUAGGGUGCGAGCGUUGUCCGGAAUUACUGGGCGUAAAGAGCUCGUAGGCGGUUUGUCACGUCGUCUGUGAAAUCCCUCGGCUUAACCGGGGGCGUGCAGGCGAUACGGGCAGACUUGAGUACUACAGGGGAGACUGGAAUUCCUGGUGUAGCGGUGAAAUACGCAGAUAUCAGGAGGAACACCGGUGGCGAAGGCGGGUCUCUGGGUAGUAACUGACGCUGAGGAGCGAAAGCAUGGGUAGCGAACAGGAUU
rnacentral:rRNA from 1 species